UGCCGAUGAUGCAUAAACAUGCACGUAUUAUCAGAUUCAAAAUGACGAUAUAUUAAGAUUGUCACUACCGCUGAGGCA